AUAUUUACGCCCACAGACACAAUUCAUCUUAUGAAUUACACUUUAAGACACUUUGGUCUUAGUGGACACUUUCUCUUAGUGAAAUGUCUAGCUUAACCCUCACCUCUUAGUGAAAGUGGGUUUCAUGAAUUCUCUAACCAGAACAAUUGGUUUUUCUAACUAGUAAAAAUAAAACAAAUAAUAUAUUUUCAGAUAUUUUUUACUUGAAUUUUGAAAGAGUCUAUCUUUUUUUUUCUUUUUCAUUUUGUAGAUUUCAAGAGACAAACCCUAGUUUUAUCUCUCCCCCGAUUUCUUGUAGAUCUAGAAACUCAAACCUUCGCCAAACCGUAAUCAAGUUUCUAAAAAUCAGAUCCUCUCCGGCGAUAGUUGAUUUCGUCAUUAACCACAGCCAGCCACCGUUGAUUGAGAAAAACCCGCCAUGGAAGGUGAGUUCCGUUUCGUACUCUGUCUCCGCCGCCGUUGUUCCUUCAUCUUCCACCCACAGCCACCAUUAACGAUUUUUCCUUUUUUCAGAUUCUGCAGAGGACGCCAUAGACCACCGUCUUCCCGUGAGACUCUUCGCAACUGAUUCAUAUAUGAAAAGUUAGUUUAUUGUCUGAUUGUGGUGGUGGAUGCCGCGAUGGUAGAUGUCGUGGUGGCGGAUGUAGAUACGGAGGUAGAAGACGUGAGGAGGAGGAGGUGGUUAUGGAUGUCGUGAUGGUGGAUGCUAUGGUGGUGGAUAUGGAUACAGCUGACGCCUAACCAUGACUUACCCGACC
rnacentral:lncRNA from 1 species